CUCCGCUUCAACCAUCCGACUUUAAUCCUAUAAUCCUAUGACUAACUUACUUCUCACAUCCCCCACCUACUUAUCUCUCUCGAAGCAAAUUGUCUCCAAUUUCAAGAACAAACUCUGUCUCCCCUGCUUCUUGCAACACACAAAGCCCCAGGAACCUACAAUUCCAUCCAUUUUCACCUUGCAGUCAGCCCAAUUUCCUUUCUUUUUCUUUUCUUUUUUCCUUUUAUUUUAUUCUGGAACCCAACGAUGGCGCAACAGAAAUC
rnacentral:misc_RNA from 1 species